rnacentral:rRNA from 1 species
ACUCCUACGGAAGGCAGCAGUGGGGAAUCUUGCACAAUGGGGGAAACCCUGAUGCAGCGACGCCGCGUGAGCGAUGAAGCCCUUCGGGGUGUAAAGCUCUUUCGGCAGGAACGAUAAUGACGGUACCUGCAGAAGAAGCUGCGGCUAACUACGUGCCAGCAGCCGCGGUAAU